GUAGGUGGCAAGCGUUGUCCGGAAUUAUUGGGCGUAAAGCGCGCGCAGGCGGUCCUUUAAGUCUGAUGUGAAAGCCCACGGCUCAACCGUGGAGGGUCAUUGGAAACUGGGGGACUUGAGUACAGAAGAGGAAAGCGGAAUUCCAAGUGUAGCGGUGAAAUGCGUAGAGAUUUGGAGGAACACCAGUGGCGAAGGCGGCUUUCUGGUCUGUAACUGACGCUGAGGCGCGAAAGCGUGGGGAGCAAACAGGAUUAGAUACCCUGGUAGUCCACGCCGUAAACGAUGAGUGCUAAGUGUUAGGGGGUUUCCCGCCCCCUUAGUGCUGCAGCUAACGCAUUAAGCACUCCGCCUGGGAGUACGGCCGCAAGGCUG
rnacentral:rRNA from 1 species